UGGGGGGCCCUUCGGGAGGCAGCAGUAGGGAAUCUUCCGCAAUGGGCGAAAGCCUGACGGAGCAACGCCGCGUGAGUGAUGAAGGUCUUCGGAUCGUAAAACUCUGUUAUCAGGGAAGAACAAACGUGUAAGUAACUGUGCACGUCUUGACGGUACCUGAUCAGAAAGCCACGGCUAACUACGUGCCAGCAGCCGCGGUAAUACGUAGGUGGCAAGCGUUAUCCGGAAUUAUUGGGCGUAAAGCGCGCGUAGGCGGUUUUUUAAGUCUGAUGUGAAAGCCCACGGCUCAACCGUGGAGGGUCAUUGGAAACUGGAAAACUUGAGUGCAGAAGAGGAAAGUGGAAUUCCAUGUGUAGCGGUGAAAUGCGCAGAGAUAUGGAGGAACACCAGUGGCGAAGGCGACUUUCUGGUCUGUAACUGACGCUGAUGUGCGAAAGCGUGGGGAUCAAACAGGAUUAGAUACCCUGGUAGUCCACGCCGUAAACGAUGAGUGCUAAGUGUUAGGGGGUUUCCGCCCCUUAGUGCUGCAGCUAACGCAUUAAGCACUCCGCCGGGAUG
rnacentral:rRNA from 1 species